GGGGAUAUGGCGAAAUGGCAGACGCUGCGGACUCAAAAUCCGCCGGUCUUUGCAAGACCGUGAGGGUUCGAGUCCCUCUAUCCCCA
rnacentral:tRNA from 1 species